GACACAAGGCACUCUUGCGAGGGGUCGGUGAAGCGGCGGCAGGCCAGCAUGGGACCCCUGACAGCCUGGCCCGGGCCCCUUAGCCAGUACCUUAAUCCGGCCCUGUCUGGAUCCGCCCCUGGCCGUAGCGCUCCGAGUGGUUACGUCACAAUAUCGGAGGAAGGCCAUGGCGCAACUAUGUGAAAAAAUAUCUGGCACCGACGUGAAAAAAUUUUUUUUUUGUCUAUUUGUGUUUUUUGUGCACGUUCAUUUGACAAUAAUAUACGUUUUAAAAGCACA